rnacentral:lncRNA from 1 species
CGCCGAAGCGCGAAGCCAUGAUUGAAGGGAGGUGCCCAGAUGCCCGCUAAUUGACUAAUUGAAGGAGAACAUAGCUUGAUGGCAAAAUCAAUUUCUCAGGUAUCAGAGUGAGCUCCAGAAGGCGAGUUAUACAAGUUUAAGUGGGCGGAGAUGAUGAGUAGAUAUUGAUGAGGGGAUGACGGUGAAGACGCAGUCGAGUUCAGUUGACCGUGGUGAACCUGUCAGUUUCAGUUCGCGGUGGCAAUCCCGACAAGUUGGCGAACCCGUCAAGUUCGAGCCUCGUGGCGAAGUCGAUUGGCGGGCACACCUGGUGGAGCUUUGUUUAGAAGAGGUACCAGGCUUGGCGGAGUUGUGUCAGCGGGGCGGAGCCUUUGGGCGGGUCAGCGGAUCAGCGGUACUUGUCCGGCGGAGCCUGGGACAUCAGCGGUGACCUUGAUGCUCCGUUAAGAUUUUGUUAGCGGUGGUACCUAGCUGGAGGUUGAUUGAUGGGUUGUUCAGUUGAUGCUUGAUCAAAGCUUCAUGGGUAAUGACUGAGCUUCGCUCUUCUUGACACUGAUCGAAGAAGCAGAUGGAAGCUGUCAUGGGUGUCCAAAUCAAUUCUUGGACUGGGUGUCCGUCGAUUGCGUCUGCCGCUAGUGGCAGCGCUGCUGGAGCUACCCACUGACGUUGGUGCAACAGCCUGGUAGUGGCGGAGUCGUACCUGGAGGUUGGCGGGUACUUGCUCAGCGGAGAUGGCAGACCUGGAGCUCGGCGGAGUUGGCUAGCGGGUUGUCCGGCGGAGCGGCUGUUGCUGGCGAUACUCUGCUAGCGGUCUCUAGUCCG